AAUGCAGAAUCAUUCAGGAUCCCUUGAAUUAUCUUCAAAGUGGGUUCAUUGAGGCACCCCGAGAACAAUAAAAGCUAACAACUGACCGCUUUAAAUAAACCGCGAAGAAUAACUACGAGAUGAUCGAGGCAGGACUAAGGGUAAAGGAAGCAGUCAUGACACCGUUGAUACGUGUACGUACCGGCAGAUAAACCAGUGCUGGUGCAAAUCUCCUGUCAUUGCUGGAUGAUUCAUCGCCAAAUGUGAAAUUUCGCUCCUCCAGGAUGAAUGGCUGCAUUAUCGUCGCAUCGGGAUUUGAGUUCAUAUCCUGUGGCAUUGCAUAACUAGCAGAGAUCACAGUAGGCGUCGGGAUUGAAGAUUCUUAUGGGCGCUGGGCCAACUGGAAGUCGUGGAAGUUGACCAGGAUCCAGUGAGAAUCCCGGGACCGGGAGGUACUGAGCGAGGGCUCCGGGAAAAGGUAGACCGGAUAACUGAUUGGCAACUGAUGUCACGGCAUUCUGU